UCCGAGUUAACCCCGGCAGUCUCCUAUGAGUCCCCGCCAUAACGCGCUGGCAACAUAGAACGAGGGUUGCGCUCGUUGCGGGACUUAACCCAACAUCUCACGACACGAGCUGACGACAACCAUGCACCACCUGCACGCGAGCCCGAAGGCGCCGCCAUCUCUGACGACUUCCCGCGCAUGUCAAGCCUUGGUAAGGUUCUUCGCGUCGCAUCGAAUUAAUCCACAUGCUCCGCCGCUUGUGCGGGCCCCCGUCAAUUCCUUUGAGUUUUAGCCUUGCGGCCGUACUCCCCAGGCGGGGCGCUUAAUGCGUUAGCUACGGCACGGAUCCCGUGGAAGGAAACCCACACCUAGCGCCCACCGUUUACGGCGUGGGCUAC
rnacentral:misc_RNA from 1 species